AGUGAACGCUGGCGGCGUGCUUAACACAUGCAAGUCGAACGAGAUCUUCGGAUCUAGUGGCAGACGGGUGAGGAACACGUGGGAACAUCCCUUUCAGUUCGGAAUAACGUUGGGAAACUAACGCUAAUACCGGAUACGUCCUUCGGGAGAAAGAUUUAUCGCUGAAAGAUUGGCCCGCGUCUGAUUAGCUAGUUGGUGAGGUAAUGGCUCACCAAGGCUACGAUCAGUAGCUGAUCUGAGAGGAUGAUCAGCCACAUUGGGACUGAGACACGGCCCAAACUCCUACGGGAGGCAGCAGUGGGGAAUAUUGGACAAUGGGCGCAAGCCUGAUCCAGCCAUGCCGCGUGAGUGAUGAAGGCCUUCGGGUUGUAAAGCUCUUUUAUCCGGGAAGAUAAUGACUGUACCGGAAGAAUAAGCCCCGGCAAACUUCGUGCCAGCCGCCGCCGUAA
rnacentral:rRNA from 1 species